UGCAAGUCGAACGAUGAACCACUUCGGUGGGGAUUAGUGGCGAACGGGUGAGUAACACGUGGGCAAUCUGCCCUUCACUCUGGGACAAGCCCUGGAAACGGGGUCUAAUACCGGAUAUGAGCCUGGGAGGCAUCUCCCGGGUUGUAAAGCUCCGGCGGUGAAGGAUGAGCCCGCGGCCUAUCAGCUUGUUGGUGAGGUAACGGCUCACCAAGGCGACGACGGGUAGCCGGCCUGAGAGGGCGACCGGCCACACUGGGACUGAGACACGGCCCAGACUCCUACGGGAGGCAGCAGUGGGGAAUAUUGCACAAUGGGCGAAAGCCUGAUGCAGCGACGCCGCGUGAGGGAUGACGGCCUUCGGGUUGUAAACCUCUUUCAGCAGGGAAGAAGCGCAAGUGACGGUACCUGCAGAAGAAGCGCCGGCUAACUACGUGCCAGCAGCCGCGGUAAUACGUAGGGCGCAAGCGUUGUCCGGAAUUAUUGGGCGUAAAGAGCUCGUAGGCGGCUUGUCACGUCGGGUGUGAAAGCCCGGGGCUUAACCCCGGGUCUGCAUUCGAUACGGGCAGGCUAGAGUGUGGUAGGGGAGAUCGGAAUUCCUGGUGUAGCGGUGAAAUGCGCAGAUAUCAGGAGG
rnacentral:rRNA from 1 species